UUACUUAACUUUAUUCUCUGUACAUUAUGUUUCAAUAGUAUAAAAUUUACCUUGUGUUUUUGGAUGAGUGUUCUUUUUACCUGAUGAAAAGUUAUGCACGGAAGUUGUUACCUUUUAUCAUAAAUUGUUUUUCUCCCCAUUCAUUUUAAAUAAUUUCAUUUAUAGGAGAUUGUGAGUGCUUAAAGAAAGGAUAAAAGAGUUAUGGGGAUUAAGACGUGAAGUUUGCAGAGGAAAAUAUUCCUUGAUGAUAUGGACUAAGAUUAUUUUAUAUUAUUUUAUUUUUAAUUUUUUGAAGCAAUAAACUAGGAUUUUCUUGAGAGUGUUCUUGAUGGAAGUUCUUUUUUCUUGUUUCUUUUUCUUCAUCUUUCUCUUCUUCUUUCUAUCUUUUUCUUUCUUUCUUUUUUUUUUGUUGUUGAAAGAGGAAAUGCUGAUGUGAGGGGUUUUGUCUUAAAAAUCUUUUAAAGAGAGAUGUACAGGGAUCCUAAUGGUGUUUGGUCUCUUGUUAGGUUUGUUGUUUAUCUUUGGACGUUUGUGGUGAAGGUUUUUUUAUGAAUAUAUGAUGGGUUGUAUUUUACUAGAUUGAAGCCCUUCUUCUUUAGUUUGGAUUCCUUUGGCACGCCCCGUUUUUAGUGGAUUCUUUUGUGUUCUUUUUGUUUCUUCUUGCUGAAAGUUCGAUUUAUUAUAUAAAAAACAAACUUUUAAUGUUUUCACAAGGAUAAGAAAUAAGAUUAGAGCAAAGAAGAGGGAUGGGACUAGGUAAUCUCUCUUUGUUAUUUAUAAUAACAAUUUUUUCACAUUGGAAACUAAUUUGAAGGUAACAUGUAUAAGGGAAAAAAGGAGGGAAAAGGAGAAGUAUCGUUAAUGUAUUUUCUAUUUUUCUCAAAUUCUAAAAGUGAUAUGAGUUCUUUCAGGGAGGGGCUUCUCGCCACUCUUUCCUAGACCGUUCUUUUUUUGAUUAAUACAAAGGUAUAUUUUAUCAGAAAGAGAAAGUUCGUAUCUCUCUCUCAUGUCUUUGAAACUAAUUUAAUUUUUCUUUAUCAUAAAUUUUUUUCUCCCCAGUCUCAGAAUUGGAUUAAUUGUGCAACGGAAUAGUAGUUGUCUUUUGGAAACAAAUGCCUUAAGGAUGUUUUAUUGACAUGUUUACAGCAUUUUUGGAGUUAUGCUAUAUCUAGAUGUUGCUUCAUAAUUAAUCUGUGCCUUCGUUUUGUUCAUAAUAUGAGAUUCCCUAGCAUGCCCUGUUUCUUAUAUAUGGAUGAAUAUUAUUGGGAAUUUGAGUAUCUAGUUGAGUUCGUGGUCCCGUGGAAUGUUGCUUUUUAAGAAGGUAAAUUUUCUCUCCUCUUUCCUCUCUUCUCUCUCCUCCCCCCUCUCUCAUCUCUCCUCCUUCCUCCACCUCCCUUCUCGGCUCAUCCUCUCUUUCCGGUACCUCCACGACGACUGCAAUUUUUCUCCGAUCAGACUUCACUUUGGACUUUUCUGCAUUAGAAACAGAGACAGAUGGAAGUAAAAAGUUGCAGGAUUGACAGCUUGUAUUUUUGCAUUUUGGCAUGAAGAUGGAGUUUUUCAUGUAGAAGAUACUGGGGCAAGUUUAAUCCUACCUAUAUCCAAAUCACAGCUUAUUUGGGUUCAUUGAAGCCAUCUCAGAUUUGGUUCAAGAAAGAAAAAUUAGAAAUUGGCAGGGUGGAAGUUUCCAAGUUCAGAAGUGUGGUUGGGUGCUGAGGUGCAAUGUAUGGCAUUGUAGAGACGGAAGAUCAAAUUAGAAGCCUUUUCAGUCAAGGUAUGGCAAGGCCAAAUCUUUUAAGAAUGCAGCCGGUUUCAUCUUUCUUAAUCACCUUUCUCCUCGAUCUACAGAGACAAAAUGGAGGACUGGUGUUGGUUAAUGAGCAACAACCAUGUUUGAUACCAACUACAAUGCUCCAUACCGACAACCAUUUGAAGUAAUGUGGCCUUUCCUUUGCAUAUUCCAAUUGGUGAAGACAAACUGCGGUGGGGAGAACUUUUGUUAAAUUGCUUGGCGGAUUCAAAGCAAGUUAUGAGUAUAACAUUUGGCAUUCAUCCUGAACUCGAUCUUCAUGUACUUUCAGCAUCACUGAGAAGAAGUCUUGUAUUCCUAUGAAGGGCAGUUAUGUAGACAUGGUGAAGAACAAGGGGACUAACCAGCACUCUGUCUCGGCAUCAGUAAAACAGAGCACAAGAAAAUACUGGGUUAUUAAGAACCCGGAUGUAUGCAAAGUUCAUUUUGAUAAUCUAUGGGUAGUAUAAAAAAUUUUCAGCUGUUGUUUUGGUUGUUUUCUGCCUUGUUUGGAGUUUGUUAACCUCUUGGUCCUCGUUUUUUCGCGUAUGUAGGUUGCGGUUUCUUUGGCCCUUA